GCANUGCCGCGUGCAGGACGAAGGCCUUCGGGUUGUAAACUGCUUUUGUACGGAACGAAACGGCUCUCUCUAAUACAGGGGGCUAAUGACGGUACCGUAAGAAUAAGCACCGGCUAACUACGUGCCAGCAGCCGCGGUAAUACGUAGGGUGCGAGCGUUAAUCGGAAUUACUGGGCGUAAAGCGUGCGCAGGCGGUUUUGUAAGACAGAUGUGAAAUCCCCGGGCUCAACCUGGGACCUGCAUUUGUGACUGCAAAGCUAGAGUACGGCAGAGGGGGAUGGAAUUCCGCGUGUAGCAGUGAAAUGCGUAGAUAUGCGGAGGAACACCGAUGGCGAAGGCAAUCCCCUGGGCCUGUACUGACGCUCAUGCACGAAAGCGUGGGGAGCAAACAGGAUUAGAUACCCUGGUAGUCCACGCCCUAAACGAUGUCAACUGGUUGUUGGGUCUUCACUGACUCAGUAACGAAGCUAACG
rnacentral:rRNA from 1 species